rnacentral:rRNA from 1 species
UAUUGGACAAUGGGGGAAACCCUGAUCCAGCAAUGCCGCGUGAGUGAAGAAGGCCUUAGGGUUGUAAAGCUCUUUCAGCGGGGAAGAUGAUGACGGUACCCGCAGAAGAAGCCCCGGCUAACUCCGUGCCAGCAGCCGCGGUAAUACGGAGGGGGCUAGCGUUGUUCGGAAUUACUGGGCGUAAAGCGCACGUAGGCGGUGGCGCAUGUCAGAUGUGAAAGCCCUGGGCUUAACCUAGGAAUUGCAUUUGAAACUGCGUCGCUAGAGGCCGGAAGAGGGUAGUGGAAUUCCCAGUGUAGAGGUGAAAUUCGUAGAUAUUGGGAAGAACACCGGUGGCGAAGGCGGCUACCUGGUCCGGUUCUGACGCUGAGGUGCGAAAGCGGGGGGAGCAAACAGG